UUAUGCUGCACAGUUUUGGUCACCGUAUUACAAGAUGGAUAAUGCUCUGGAAAACGUACAAAGGAGGAUGACAACGUUGAUCCCAUGUAUCAGAAAUCCUUCCAAUUAGAAUAGACUAAGGGCCCUGAAUAUGCACUCUCUAGAAAGGCGUAGAAUUAGGGGGGAUAUGAUUGAGGUGGAUAAAUGGAAAACAAGAAUUAAUAAAGGAGUUGUAAAUAGCGUGCUAAAAAUACGUAUCUAGCCAAGAUAGGACUCGCAACAAUGGUUUUAAGUUCAAAAAAUUCCGAAUCAGGAAGGAUAUAGGAAAGCACUGGUUUGGUAAUAGAGUUGUGGAAGAGUGGAACAAACUCCCUAGUACCGUCAUAGAAGCUAGAACGUUGUGUAGUUUUAAAAAUAGGUUAGAUAAAUGCAUGAGUGGGUGUGGGUGAGUGUGAGUUGGACCUGACUAGCUUGUGCUACCAAGUCAGAUGUCGUGCUCCUUCCUUAAGUGAAUGUGAACUGACCUGACUAGGUUGGCGUAUUGGCUUGGGCUGGUGUGGAACUUGGACCUGCCUCGCAUGGGCCAGUAGGCCUGCUGCAGUGUUUCUUCUUUGUUAUGUUCUUAUUAGGAAAGUUGUGUAUAAGGAAUGCAUCCCUUAUUCACAACUUUCCUAAUACGAAUCUUAGCCCUGGCUUUGUCUCUUUAGAUACCUUCUUUCUCGUUAAUUGUCAAAUGCUCCAAGAUGAAGAAGUUUAAUCAUUCCGAGACAUAUCACACUCUCAGAGUGGGUAUAUAUUAACCUCUCCUAAGCAGAUGUUGCAAGUGUCAGUAAUAUGGACACGUCGUCAAUGCAUGUAAAUCCAGAGAGAGUGUGGUUACUGCGCAAGCUCACACCAAACGAAUGUUUGUCAAGCCUAACUCUCAAAAGGUGAGCAAGUGCAGAAGGAAGACACACGCUGACUGUGAGCAAGGAGUCAGAUUGUUGUAUUCUGAGUGCGAGGUGUGCAAUUUCGCGAAACACAACAACGACACCAAUAACAAUGACAAUGACGGCAGCAACUGCAGAGUUGGCGGUAGUGUGAGUUGCCAGCUUCAGUCGUUUACCUGAGAAUGGGAGUGGCCACACGUGUCUGCGGGUACACUGGGUGAGUUUGAUGAUCCUACCGUGGACGACAGUGAUGAUCAGAUGAAGCACCCUUGGGAAAAGCUAGUACUUUCUCUCAUGUCACAGUGGAAGUGUACAACAACAGAAGCAGAGGAGAGCUGGUGGGAGCUUUAACAGUGUUCUUCACUGCCAGGGAACUUCCUGGGGGUGUAAGUUUAUUCAGGAAACGUAAACUCGGACAAAGGGGAACUUCUUGAAGGAAGAUGGCGAAGAUGUGUGUCGGAAGCAUCAGCAGUCAAAAACUGCAUUGUCCCAACGGAGGCUGGGGUUGGAUGGUGGCCUUCGGCACAUUUCUCGUGCUGGCGAGUAUCUUUCAACUGGAACCUGGAGGUGCCAUGGUGCUGGCACUGCUGCCGAUAACGACGAUGUCCUUCCCCAUCCUGUUCUCUCAGUUCCUGACAGAGCGAAGGGCAUCCUCCACCACCAUCGCCUGGAUAUUCAACAUGCAUUUAUUCCUUUCGUUCGCCGUUGGGCCUCUGAUUGGCCCAUUCACGUCUGAUUUUGGGCUACG